AUUCUGAAUGCUCAUUAUUUCUCUUUACUACUUUUUCUUUUUAUUUAAAAUUUUUUUUUUUUCAUAACCAUUUAUCCUUUUUAUGCCCUCUUCCAUCUUUCCUGCAACUUGCUUUUGUUGUUGUUGUUCUUAGUUGUCAGAGACCAUUGGAGUUCAUUGAAGUUCAAUGUCUGUAGUAUUGAAUUAAAUGCCCAAUAAUGCAGAUGUAUGCAUUUAUUUCUACUAGAAUUUUAAUUUUGGCAGUCAUAAAAAUUUUAAAGAAAUUUUUAGGCUUGUUUGCAUUCUUAGAGUUUCAUUUCAUAAUACUGAGUGUAGAAAUGUAAAAUAUUAAAUUUCUAAAUACUUAAAAGGUCUCUAUUGGUUUUACUUGAAAUUUUAAAGUAGCUCAUUUGUCAUUUGCUACAAAUAGAGGAACAUGGUCACGUGUAGCUGACAUUAGAUCUCUAUACUGAUUUGAGCAUUAGUGGCAGAGACUAAAAAGAUUGAGCCUUACAUUCCAGUGAGAGGUAGAAUAGUAGGUGUGGUGAGGACACUUAUCCAGGGAUUGGCCAUUGGUAAUCUUUGGCAUAGGAAAAGGCAGAUAGAAAUCACGCUCAUUCUUCCAUCCCUGCUGUUUGUACUUGGCACUAUUUAAAAACAUAAAUUCUACUGGAAUA